rnacentral:rRNA from 1 species
CCUACGGGUGGCAGCAGUGAGGAAUAUUGGUCAAUGGACGCAAGCCUGAACCAGCCAAGUCGCGUGCAGGAAGACUGCCCUAUGGGUUGUAAACUUCUUUUGUACGAGGGUAAACGCAGCUACGUGUAUCUGUCUGAAAGUAUCGUACGAAUAAGGAUCGGCUAACUCCGUACCAGCAGCCGCGGUAAUACGGAGGAGUCAAGCGUUAUCCGGAUUUAUUGGGUUUAAAGGGUGCGUAGGCGGUCGUGUAAGUUAGGGGUGAAAGCCCGGGGCUCAACUCCGGCACUGCCUCUGAAACUGUUCGGCUAGAGAGGAGGAGAGGUAGGCGGAAUGCAUGGUGUAGCGGUGAAAUGCUUAGAUAUCAUACAGAACACCGAUUGCGAAGGCAGCUUACCGGGCUACAUCUGACGUUGAGGCACGAAAGCGUGGGGAGCAAACAGGAUUAGAUACCCGUGUAGUC